GGGGGCAGUGCGUCAACGGGCCCCGAUGGAGAGAUUAACCCCGCGCGCAACUUGGAUACAGUUUCUGGGCUUCUCUCCCCUGCCGGAGAGCGGGAUUUAAAGAGGGAAGUGCGCACGCGGGGGACACGUGGGUUCCCGGAGGGGCGCCGUCGGACCCGGUCCCGAUGCGCGCGCGGAUCGUCCCCUCCAGCCGCUUCAGUCUCCUCUCCGAGCGGAACCAGAAAUGUGUGACGGGGAGUCGUCCGGCCCGGGGAGGCUGAUCCCCGGGUGUUUGCUCCGGGUUUGAGAGGAGAUCCCUCCGGGACCGGAAGCUCCGGAGUUCAGCGCGCUCACGGAUUACCGCUUCUCCUCCUUCUCCUCCUUCUCCUCCUCCUGAAACACCGACGCGCUCUACUUCCAUGUCUGAGAAGAGCGCUGCGUCGCCAUGACGAGUGAGGAGGAGGAGGGGCCCGGCGUCGCCACGUGGACGGCGGCCAUCACUUCCUCCUCCCCCCGCAGGCCCCCCACGCACCGCGAGGAACAGGAGGAGGACGAGGACGGGAGGAUUGAGGAGGACGAGGAAGAGGUGGUGGAGUGCGACGGCGACGAUGAGGAGGACGACGAAGAGGAGGAGGAGGAGGACGGCCACAGCAGCGCCACCAGCGCGCCGUACCCGGAGCUCGCCCCCGUGGUCUUCUUCUGCCUCAAGCAGACCUCCUGUCCCCGCAGCUGCUGCAUCCGCAUGGUCUCCAGCCCAUAUCCUUUCUCUUGUAUACUCAGGUUCUUCUGUGAAGAGACAUCCGCUGGACAGGUGAGCCUCCACCUGGCGCUGCAUGGGGAGAGGGGGGGCGGAGAGUUGACAUC
ensembl:lncRNA